GCCCUCCCACAGCCCUUUGCAGGACGUGCAACAGGGUUGUGGCUCGUGUGUUCGGUCUCUGCCUGCUGAAACCCCUUAUGGGAGGUGGAGCAUGCAGACGGACGGGUGCAGGAGCCAGGGUGCAAAAGCUGGGGCGCUGGGCUUCCAGCCCCACGGCAGUGUCCAGGGGCAGGAUCCCGUGAUUCCCGGAGCCCAAAUGGGCGUGUGUUACAGUGUGCUCUUUUAGCCUUACCAUCAGCUGACGGCUUAAGUGUUAACCAGCUCAAUAGACCCUCUGCCUUUUUGCAAGCGCAGAGGGUCAGUGUGACAGUUUCUGUAUCUCAGCUCUUGUCUCACCUCCCAGAAGAAUCAGGUCACACAUGGACUUGAAGGAUGACGGGCCUGUCUAAUUGCAGGAAAACAAACUCAGGGCUCCCACUGAUUCUACAUUACGAACACCAGAGACUGGGUAAUUAAUAAAAAGAAGAAAUUGAUCUGGCCUACAGUUCUGGAGCCUUGGAAGUCCGAGAUCAAGGAGCUGCAUCUGGGUUCUAGGAUGCCUCAUAAAGGCCCGUAGUGUACUUUCUGUCUACUUCACUUAGCUCCGCAUUUGCAAUUUCUGUUAACAUGCAUACAGUUGAAUGGAUGGCCAGGAUCAAAGCUAUCUGCUGUGAGACACAAUGAGAAAUGCUUUUGUGUAAAGGACUCAAUGAUCACCCGCUCCAGAGGAUGCAGCAAAAAGGUGCCAUCUUGGAAGCAGAGACCAGCUCUCACCAGACGCUGAAUCUGCUGGCUCCCUGAUCUUGGACUUCCCAGGGUCCAGAACUCUGAGAAAUAAAUUUCUAUUGUUUAUAAUGUACUCAGUCUGUGGUAUUUUGUUAUAGCAGCAGGAAUGGACUGAGAGAAAAGCAGCUAGUUGAGGAUUUGAGAAUUUGGGUGUUUUUUUGGUUUUUGGUUUUGGUUUGAGUGAAUCUUUUUGCAAAACAUUUUAGACAUUUUAUGUACAAUAAAAUGCUUCCAUUUUAAAUAUGCAUUUGAGUAGGCUUUAGAAAUGUAUACAACCAUGUAAACACCUUAAUCAAGACACAGAAUGUUUUCAUAACCCUCAAAAGUUCCCUUGUAUCCAGUUGCAGUAAAUCUCCCCUUCUCCCCACCCCCAGGUGACUCCUAAUCUGCUUUCUAUCAGUUUAGAAAAGUUUGCAUUUUCUAGAAUUUUGUAUAGAGGGAAUGAGUCAGACUUUCAUGUAUCAUAAUGCUUUUGAGAUUCACCCAUAUUGUUGCAUGUAUCAGUGGAUUCUUCCUUUUCCUUGCUAAGUUUCAUUCUGUUAUAUAGAUAUACUGCAAUUUAUUGAUCAAUUCUCUGUUAAUGGACAUUUGGAUUGUUUCUAGUUUUGGUGUAUUUUGUAUAAACCGACAGUUCCUGACUUAUGAUGGUUCAACUUUAACAUAAUGCGAAAACAAUACACAUUCAGUAGAAUUCAUACUUCAAGUACCCAUACAACCAUUCUGUUUUUCACUUUCAGUACAUUGCUUAAUAAAUUAUGUGAGAUAUUCAACACUUUAUUAUAAAAUAGGCUUGUGUUAGAUGAUUUUGCCUCGCCAUAAGCUAAUUUAAAUGUUCUGAGCACAUUUAAUGUAGGUUAAGGUAAGCUAUGAUGUCUGGUAGGUUAGGUAUAGUAAAUGCACUUUUGAUUUAUGAUAUUUUCAACUUACGAUGGCUUUAUUGGGACAUAACUCCAUUGUAAGUAAGCCAAGGAGCAUCUGUAUAUUAAAAAGCUGCUAUGAACAUCUGUAUACAAGUCUUUUUGUAAAUGCAUGUUCUGAUUUCUUUCAGAUAAAUACCUGGAGUGGGAUUGCUAGAUCACAUGGAAAACACAGAUCCUGGUGCCGAACAUGAGGACAGGGCAGGCCGAAGGAGAAAGUGGAAGGAGGGGAGCUUCUCUCUCAGCCUCAUCCUUCUGGGCCUGGAUGCUGGAGAGUCAUGAGGUGCUUCAGAGUACUCUGGGUGAGGAGGGAAAGAUGGUGCCCACCACAUGGAGGCCAGCCUAGGUCUUGUAUGAAACCUGUGAGGCCAGCAGGAGCCAGGCCGUGGCCUGCUGACUGCAUCUGCCAGAUGACUACCAAUGUGAGAUUCUCUCUCCCUUGCUGUCUUUGAAAAAGCAAGUUGCCAUGUGAAGAGGGCCAUAUAGCAUAGGAGCUGAAGGCAGCCUCCAACUGACGGCAAGAAAAUGAGGUCCUCAGUCUGACAACCUGCAAGAAACUGAAUGUUCUAAAAGCCACAUGAGCUUGGGAGCAGAUCUGACCCCAGCCAAAUCUCUGAAGUCCGCAGGCAGGAAAUGAAGAUCAGAAAAAGGCUAUUGUCUCAUGAAUAUGAGCCAGACUCCACAGAAGCUGGAGUCCUUCAUUAUGGAGCUAAACACAUACACCUGGCUUAGGAGUCAGAAAAACUGAAAGAGAAUUCAGGGAAGUAGAGAAAUUGCAAGCCCAGAUGCUGCUUCAUACCAAAGAAGCAAGUCAGCAGGUCAGCAACAAUGUGUAUCAGUUCCAAAAUGACUUACACAGGUACCAAGACAAGACAUUAUAUACACUUAUAUAGUCAAAUACUUUAAAACUGUUAACAAACUUGCUACAAUUGUCUCAUUUGUCUUUUAACCUUAAUAUCACAGAUCAAGUUUGUAAUCUCAAAAGUUCACCCUGGCUGCUGUGUGGAGUAUUCUCUUAUCUGCUCAUAUUACACUGUGCUUAUUCAUUCAUCAGUUAAUGGAAAUUUGGGUUGUUUCCUGAUUUUGACUGUAAUGAAUAAUGUUGCUGUAAACAUUCAUGUACAGUUUUGUGUGGACAUGCUUUUCUUUCUCUUGGGUAGGUUCCUAUGAGUGGAAUCACUAGAUUGUAUGGUAAAUGUAUGUUUAACUUUUAAAGAAACUGUCAAACUGUUUUCUAACAUGAACGGGCCAUUUUACGUUCUUAUCAACAAUAUAUGAUGGUUUCAAUUUUCCCACAUCCUCACCAACAUUUGGUAUUGUCUCUCUUUUACAUCAUAACUAUUUUAGUGGGGAUGUAGUGAUAUCUUAUCGUGGUUUUAAUUUGUGUCUCCCUAAUGACUAAUGAUAUUGUGCAUCUUUGCAUAUGCUUGUUAGCCAUUUAUGUACAUUCUUUAGUGAAAUGGCUAUUCAAAUCUUCUGCCCAUUUAAAAAUCGAGUUGUUUUUCUUAUUAUUCAGUUGUAAGAGUUUUUUCUUUAUUCUGUGCAAAAGUCCUUUAUCAAGUCUAGGAUUUUUGAAUAUUUUCUCAACCUAGAGCUUGUUUUUCAACAUUUUUUUCUUAAUGAUCUUUUGAAGUGCAAAAGUUUGAUUUUGAUGAAGUCUAAUGUAUCACUUCUUCCUUUAACUGUCAUGAUUUUUGUGUCGUAUCUAAGAACUCUUUACCCAACUCAAAGUUACCAAGGUAUUUUCUUCCAGAAGUUUUGCAGUUUUAACUCUUCUAUAUAGGCCUGUGAUCCAUUUUUAAUUCAUUUUUUGCAUAUGAUGUGAGAGAAGGGCCUAAGUUCAUAUUCGUACAUGUGGAUGUACAAUGGUUCCAGGAUCACUUGCUGAGAAAAGACUAUCCUUUCCCCAUUGAUUUUUUUGGCACCUGUGUCAAAAAUCAAUUGACCAUAAAUGCAAGCGUUUAUAUCUGAACUCUCAGUUCUUCUCCAUUCAUCUCUAAGGAUAUGUCUAUGCUUACAUCAAUAUCACAGUGUAUUCAUGUGGCUUUGUAGUAAAUUUUGAAAUUGGGUGAUAGAAGUCUUUCAAUUUUGUUCUUAGUUUUCAGAAUAGUUUUGGCUGUACUUUGCAUUUUGAUACAAAUUUUAGGAUGUAUGUGUGAAGUUUUACAAAAAUGCUUGCUGGAGUUUUGAUAGGAAUUGUGUUGAACCUAUAGAUCUAUUUGAGGGGGGAAUUGCCAUCUUGACAAGCUUGAGUCUUCCAAUCCAUGGACAGGGAAUGUCUCCAUUUAUUUAAAUCUUCAUUAAUUUUUCUUAGUAACGUUUCACAAUUUUUAGCGUACAAGUCUUAAACUUUUAUUACAUUUAUUUCUGUUUAUUCUUUUUGAGGCUUUGUGAAUAGAAUUUUUUUAAUUUUAUUUUUUGGGCUUGACAUUGCUGAUAUAUACAAAUACAAUAGAUUUUUAAAAUACUGAUCUUAGAUCCUGCAGCUUUGCUAAAUUCUUCGAUUAGUUCUAGAUAUUUUGUGUAUAGAUUCCUUGGUGUUUUCUAUACGCAAGAUUAUGCCAUCUGCAAAUAGAAGCAGUUUUAAUUCUUCCUUUACUCUCAGUCUGCUUUUAAUGAGCUAUUAUGUCUUCUGUUCUGUAUUGGUCAAACCCUCACCUGGAUCACAGUAUUUAUUACUGACCAUCACAGUUUCCUUGAGGAAAUGAAAAAAAUUAAAAAGAUAAAGUAACUAUUACCAUAAUCCCUACAUUCGGACACAAUAUUUAUGAGCAUGUGGGGUAAAUUCUUCCAGACACUCUUGCUAGAGGACGUGUAGCAGAGCUUAUGAUGCACUGAGCCACAUCCUCCAGCCACCAGAUUCCAGUGUAGCUGUGGUGAACUUUGCCUUGCACUUUACCAGUGUCCAUAUAAGCUCAUAUCACAGUGUCUUUCUGUUUUGCUUUCUGGAGGUCAGGGAAGCCUGCUGAGCUAUAUGUAGACCCAACCCAUAUUUUCAAGGUAAUACUCCUUAGUUGAUAGAAGCCCUCAGUCGAUGGGAACAGGAUUUCAUGGAUUAAUGCCCCAGCUCCCCCAUCCUGCAGGACAUAGAAUGUGUGACUAUCCAAGAUGCUUGCAACAUGGUUUCUCAGAGUUCCCAAUGGAAUUGAAUCCCAGCUGCAUACAACUGUAACCCACUCAUUUAUUAACUUUUCUCCCUUCCUCUUUCCCUUCACUUCUGUUUCCUAAGACUACUUCCCUCUAAAUGAUCUGCACCCAAGUCCUUGUCUCAAGGUCUUCUAGAGAAACCCAAACUAAGGCAGUUUGUCAAGGGACAAACUAGGGUACAUCUUUGAAACAGUCAUUAGGAGAGUGAGAGGUCCUGCAACGAUGUAAUAUAAAAGCAGUGAAAAUAGCUGAGAAAAUUAGAAAAAGAGAAAACUUACAGGAAUAAUCAUAGUCAUCUUUAAAUACCUGCAAAGUAAUCAGAUAUAAGAGGACCAAAGGAGACACUGGUUUUAACUGAGCACCUUCCAGGUUAUAUACUAGCUACUAUGAAGUGUAUUUAUUCCAUCCUUACAGCAACCCAGAGGCAAUGAGAACUACCCUUAUUUUUCAAAUAAGAAAACUGAGACACAGAUGAUUAAGGAAUUUGCCAAGGUCCAAAGCUAACAGGUAUUGGAACUAGGAUUCAAAUCCAAGCCUGUCUGCCCCCUAACCUGUGUCUUGCUGCUGUGUGUUUUGCUUUGAAGGGCAAAACAGAGACCAGCAGGUAGACAUUCUAAAUCCAUAGAAUUGUGUUUAUAUGAAUGCAGUGUGUGGCAGAGAUUGUCUAGAUGUUCAUCAAUGCUGUUUUCUCUGUUCUGUUUCUGGACAUACAGGAACACUUCAUGUCCUAGCCUCCUUUAUAAGUAGAUUGGGGCCAUGUAACAGGGUUCUGGCAAAUGGGAAUGUGCAGAUGUGAUAUGUGAUGCUCCUGAUUCAUUCAUUCUGUCUCUUUCUCUCUCUCCCUCUCAGCUAGCUGAAAGCAGAGAACCCAGCAGAGGAUUCUGGGAAGGUCCUGGGGGAUGGCAGAGCCAGCAGAGAGAGGGUAUGGAUCCACCAGGCAUAGGAUGGAACAGAGCACUAUUGACCACAGUGAACUGGGGCAUGGGCAAUCAAUAAACACAUAUUAGAUUAAGCUAUUGAGACUCAGGGAUUUUUAUACAACUGACAUUCCCUAAGAAGCCAUGAUCUUCCUGUCUCAGGAGGUGCAUAAGCAGUGGUUGAAUGUUCAACAGUCAAGAAUGUUAUAAAAAGAGGUUCUUGGGAGAGUGGACCUGAUGGCCAGCAAAAAUCAUAGCUCACAUUUAUUGAGUUAUUAUGGCUCAGGCAUGUGCACAUAUUCUUUUAUUUAAAUCUACAAUAUGCUUUAUCAUGCUCAUUUUAUACAUGAGGAACACAAGGCAUGGAGAGGUUAGAUAACAUGCCUAAGAUCAUGAAGCAAGCAAGGGGGAGAAAAGAUACCCUUCUCACUCCUUCCAGACAGCUCACUUCACCACCACUCCCCACUGUCUCUAAAGCAAAAGUUAUUUGAAGGCUUAGGGACUGGUUUGGUAUUAUCCAUGCAGGGCGGUUUGUUUUGUUUUUCUUUUAAAAUUUCAGCCUAUGCUUAAAAGAUUUCAUGUAAAAAUUCUGUUUUCUAGUUUCUCUUGAAAAUUAAGAAGAUCUGGUAAAACUGGGCUUGAAGACCAUUAUGGUAACAGGCUGCUGAAGCUGAGGAGAGGGCCCCUUCAGAUGGGCAUAAGCACUGCUCCCCCUCCCCAACCCCCCUUUUAGGUUACUAUCAGACUCUGGAAGCUUCUGAAUGUGUGAACCCUGAAAGAGUCCAUCUAAAGCUAAGUUCUCCCCAGGGGUAGAGCCCAAUGCUGGGCAUACAGUAGGG
rnacentral:lncRNA from 10 species